GGACAAAGCUACAAAAUACGAUGCAGAACGAAAAAGAACAAGAUCAAUACAAGAGAUAUUCAUAUGAUUUUUCAAAUUUUAAAAUUUCACAAUCCCAAAGUGUAUUCAUGCUUCAAGGUGGCUUUAAUCAUUCAAGCUAAAUGGCCUGCCUCCAAAUGAGUAAAACAACGUUGAGUUAAUCCAUAUUUGUUGUACUAAUAAUGAGAUAAAUUACCUUAGGAGAUCAAGUAUGACUUCGUUCAUCAAAGAAGUAAAGAUCUCAAUCUCCAACUCUAAAAUCAUCUCUUCUUUUUCUUCAUCAAAAUUUCUCCAGUUCCCUUUCCUCUCCAUUUCUCUAAGGUAGACAACCCUGGAAUCCUUCACCUCCCACCCCAAAAACAUUUCUUGUGGAUGCCCAUUUAUCCAAUCUUGUGCUACCUCUAACUCUUUCUCCAAGUCUUUAUUUUGUCCUUCUACCAUGCUACCACUUGCUUUGUUUUCCAUAA
rnacentral:misc_RNA from 1 species